ACUUUUAAGGGAGAGUAGCCAUCCAAUGGUCUUAGGAACCAAAAUUCUUGGUGCAAUUCCAAGUAAAAGUAG
rnacentral:tRNA from 1 species